rnacentral:rRNA from 1 species
UACGUAGGGUGCGAGCGUUAAUCGGAAUUACUGGGCGUAAAGCGUGCGCAGGCGGUUGUGCAAGACAGAUGUGAAAUCCCCGGGCUUAACCUGGGAAUUGCAUUUGUGACUGCACGGCUAGAGUGUGUCAGAGGGGGGUAGAAUUCCACGUGUAGCAGUGAAAUGCGUAGAGAUGUGGAGGAACACCGAUGGCGAAGGCAGCCCCCUGGGUCAAGAUUGACGCUCAUGCACGAAAGCGUGGGGAGCAAACAGG